rnacentral:rRNA from 1 species
AGAGUUUGAUCAUGGCUCAGGAUGAACGCUGGCGGUCUGCUUAACACAUGCAAGUCGAACGCAACCUUUCGGGGUUGAGUGGCGGACGGGUGAGUAACGCGUGAGAAUCUGCCUUUAGGUCCGGGACAACCACUGGAAACGGUGGCUAAUACCGGAUGUGCCGCAACGUGAAAGGGGAAACCCGCCUGAAGAUGAGCUCGCGUCUGAUUAGCUAGUUGGUGAGGUAAAGGCUCACCAAGGCGACGAUCAGUAGCUGGUCUGAGAGGAUGACCAGCCACACUGGGACUGAGACACGGCCCAGACUCCUACGGGAGGCAGCAGUGGGGAAUUUUCCGCAAUGGGCGAAAGCCUGACGGAGCAAGACCGCGUGAGGGAGGAAGGCUCUUGGGUUGUAAACCUCUUUUGUCAGGGAAGAACACAAUGACGGUACCUGACGAAUCAGCAUCGGCUAACUCCGUGCCAGCAGCCGCGGUAAUACGGAGGAUGCAAGCGUUAUCCGGAAUUAUUGGGCGUAAAGCGUCCGCAGGUGGCUAAUCAAGUCUGCGGUCAAAGACCGGGGCUUAACCCUGGAAAGGCCGUGGAAACUGAUAAAGCUAGAGUACCGUAGGGGUAGAGGGAAUUCCCGGUGUAGCGGUGAAAUGCGUAGAGAUCGGGAAGAACAUCGGUGGCGAAAGCGCUCUACUGGACGGUGACUGACACUCAGGGACGAAAGCUAGGGGAGCGAAUGGGAUUAGAUACCCCCGUAGUCC